rnacentral:rRNA from 1 species
AUUGAACGCUGGCGGCAGGCCUAACACAUGCAAGUCGAACGGUAACAGGAAGCAGCUUGCUGCUUCGCUGACGAGUGGCGGACGGGUGAGUAAUGUCUGGGAAACUGCCUGAUGGAGGGGGAUAACUACUGGAAACGGUAGCUAAUACCGCAUAACGUCGCAAGACCAAAGAGGGGGACCUUAGGGCCUCUUGCCAUCGGAUGUGCCCAGAUGGGAUUAGCUAGUAGGUGGGGUAACGGCUCACCUAGGCGACGAUCCCUAGCUGGUCUGAGAGGAUGACCAGCCACACUGGAACUGAGACACGGUCCAGACUCCUACGGGAGGCAGCAGUGGGGAAUAUUGCACAAUGGGCGCAAGCCUGAUGCAGCCAUGCCGCGUGUAUGAAGAAGGCCUUCGGGUUGUAAAGUACUUUCAGCGGGGAGGAAGGGAGUAAAGUUAAUACCUUUGCUCAUUGACGCUACCCGCAGAAGAAGCACCGGCUAACUCCGUG